GAUGAACGCUGGCGGCGUGCCUAAUACAUGCAAGUCGAGCGAACAGACGAGGAGCUUGCUCCUCUAACGCUAGCGGCGGACGGGUGAGUAACACGUGGAUAACCUACUUAUAAGACUGGGAUAACUUCGGGAAACCGGAGCUAAUACCGGAUAAUAUAUUGAACCGCAGGGUUCAAUAGUGAAUGACGGUUUUGCUGUCACUUAUAGAUGGAUCCGCGCCGCAUUAGCUAGUUGGUAAGGUAACAGCUUACCAAGGCAACGAUGCGUAGCCGGCCUGAGAGGGUGAUCGGCCACACUGGAACUGAGACACGGUCCAGACUCCUACGGGAGGCAGCAGUAGGGAAUCUUCCGCAAUGGGCGAAAGCCUGACGGAGCAACGCCGCGUGAAUGAUGAAGGUCUUCGGAUCGUAAAACUCUGUUAUUAGGGAAGAACAAAUGUGUAAGUAACUAUGCACGUCUUGACGGUACCUAAUCAGAAAGCCACGGCUAACUACGUGCCAGCAGCCGCCGUAACAC
rnacentral:rRNA from 1 species